CCUACGGGAGACAGCAGUGAGGAAUAUUGGUCAAUGGGCUUACGCCUGAACCAGCCAAGUCGCGUGAGGGAAGACUGCCCUAUGGGUUGUAAACCUCUUUUGUCAGGGAGCAAUUGGCGCUACGUGUAGCGUUAUCGAGAGUACCUGAAGAAAAAGCAUCGGCUAACUCCGUGCCAGCAGCCGCGGUAAUACGGAGGAUGCGAGCGUUAUCCGGAUUUAUUGGGUUGAAAGGGUGCGUAGGCGGAAUGCCAAGUCAGCGGUAAAAUCGCGGGGCUCAACCUCGCUCCGCCGUUGAAACUGGCGGUCUUGAGGGGGCGAGAAGUAUGCGGAAUGCGUGGUGUAGCGGUGAAAUGCAUAGAUAUCACGCAGAACUCCGAUUGCGAAGGCAGCAUACCGGCGCCCAACUGACGCUGAAGCACGAAAGCGUGGGUAUCGAACAGGAUUAGAUACCCCUGUAGUC
rnacentral:rRNA from 1 species